ensembl:lncRNA
AAAAAUCAUAAACGGAGGUAACGGAAAUGGCAGGUGUUCAUGAAGACCUUCAUGCACUGGCAGGCAGUUCCUGAUCAUACAACGUAUAGCAGAAGAUUUCCAUUGGACUCCAAGGAAUGCUCAGGUGUCACCAAAAAGCUUUCAUGCUUUACCCCCUUGGAGCCACUGGUGGAGCUCUGGGUUAAUGCUGUGUAAGCCCUCUCACAAAGUAAGGGAACGUUUCUUCUCACAGUUGGACAUAUCUGAGACAUGCAAAUGAUGAAGGAAAAAAAGAUAUUGCAACUCCUCUGAUGCAGCAAGUGCCAUAUUUCACAGCUACAAACAUUACAGUCCUCAAUAAAAGGAAGCCAACGAUUCCCUUCAAGUCAUAAAAGCACUAAGCUUCGUUGUGAAUGACUGAAUAUAGAGUAUGUUGUGACACAUGCAGGAUGUGUUAUGUUUUAUAAGAAGAAAGUUCAGCUUAUUCUUGCCAACAUGAUUUUGAUAAGGAAGCAAGUCUUUGCCAAAAAGAAUACAUUUGUUUUCCAAAUCCUUAUACAGUCCUUAUCACUGGUGUAUUUCAGCUUCAGCUGUAAAUAAUGACAUACUGCAUGAUUCAGCCUAUCACUCUCUUCCGUACGUAAGGAGCGCACAAACCACGGAUGGGAAUAAAGGGGCUGCAGCUUUAUUCAUCACACAAGCAAACAGAACCAUAAUCCAGAAUGCAAACAGAUCUGGUGAGAAGUAAUGAGCUCUUUGUCCAGCCCAAUCCCGCAGCUGGAGUCACACUAAGUCCUUCCAUUUGUGCGUGCACAAAAACUCUCACUCCAUUUGAUCUCAGCGCCCACAGCUCGAGCACACAACCUGACCAGCCUUACCUGCUGCCCAGCUCGGCACGUUGGCUGCCAUCCUGAAGGCAGCAGCAGUUCAGCUGGGAGGAGCCCUGCUGCAUCUCACCUGGGAAGAAACUGAAAAGAAACAUGCAUGGGAAAUCCGUUAAAUGCAACAGUCUUAGAGCAAUGCACAGCACAUUGCUGCAGUUUAAGCAAAUGAAACAAAUACUUCCAAAAUUUCCACAAUUAAAUUAGUAGAAAUCCUACACUGAAUAAACUAAAUGUAUCACUUACUAUCGAGCUGUGCCGUAUUU